GUGAGGUAAAAAGAAAUCUCAGUGUCUUUUGAUUCAAGGAGGAGAAGGACACCCUAUAAAUGUCACUCAUUAGAGAGCCCCAGAAAUGGAUCAUUUCAAAUACAUCACCAAACGGCCUGCAGGAUGCAAUGUCCUGGAAGCCUCAUUUCUCUCGGAGCCACUGUGAACAAGGAAGCCAUGUAGCAUGAGAUCAGAGACACGGGAGCAAGCAGGCAUCACGAGCUGCCCAUUCAUCUGGAGUGUGUGCAAGCUGCCUUCCAGCUGAUCUCUUCCCCAAUUUCCCUGCAUGGCAGCCAGAAUAGAAGGCAGACGGGUGUCCCAGCACCCACAAGGAUGCUAACAAGUCGCCUUGAGUGCCUGGGAUGGAGGAAAUGAUUGUGCGAUCCGGCAAGGCACCCUCCCAAAUUUGCACAUAUCAUCAUUGGCUGGAAGGACUCUGGAAUUUGGACUCAGGAGCCUCGCCACAGAGUCCUUCCUUGUGCUAAUACAGAGAUCCAGUGGGCCCGGGCCUCCAUCCCAAAGCAUGGAGUGGGUGGAGAAGGUGGGUGGCUCAGAUGAAGUGGCCUCCUUUCUCGGCCUCAUCUGGUUCUGUGAAGUUGCUGCUGCCUGCUGUGUGCAAUGGUGAUGAGGACUGAGGCUGAUGUUGCAUCACCGGAUAGCACACGAGAUGUCCUUUGGGUAUCCUGCCCAACUUCCUAGGUUUGUUUUCUUUACAGCAAAGCACACCCCCUUUCUGCGAACUGGCCCUGGGGAGAGAGCAAGUGGUCUGGCUUUGUGAGGAAUACAAGGGAAAUGGGGAAAGAAAAGAAUCAGCCAACAAAAGAAAUUAUUUCCUGGAGGUAUGCAAAAUGAGAAGACACGCCAUCAAUCUACGUAAUUCUUUGUUUUGAUGUGUGAUUGUAGACGGGGCUACAAAGGAGAGCUUCCAGGCAUGGAAAAGACAGAAUAGGAGAAUGACAAUAAGUUGAAGUUUUCAUGAAAAAAAAAGAAAGAAAAAAGGGGUUUACCUUCAGGAAUCUUGGAUGAUAAAGGUAAAAGGGAAAACAUUUGUACCCUGCAAGGAUUUGUAUCCCCAUGAGAAUCAGAGGACAGCGCAUUAGCCUGGCACAUUCCCAGAGGGCCACCAUGUCCCCUUUUCCUGAACCAUAGUAAGCUCUGCUCUGGGGAGUAAUUCACAUCGUUGCCCUUCCUUAUGGAGCUAGUGACUCGGAGACAUUGCUUGCCGAGAGGAAUUAUUAAACAUAGCUCUGCUCAAAUUCUGGGAAAGCAGAAGCAAAGUGAGACUUGAAUGACACCAGCAGCCUUUUCCAGGGAGGGACGGUGACUAGGGCAAUUUUCACCACUCCCCCCCUCCCCCGCCACCUAUGGGCCCCAGUGAGAAAGUAUAGGGAGUCAUCCUGCAUAUAUUUUAACACACCACUUUGCCACAUUUCUCUGUGAUAUGCAAUGCUCUUAAGUAUCUAAGGUUUCCAUCAUGAAGCCCAAACUGUCAUCCCUUUUUUGGUUUUGUAACUCCUUAAACUAAUGUUACAGAGAAGCUUCUAAUGAAUUCAUGGAUUUUUUUAAAAAUGUUUAUUUAUUUAUUUUUGAGAGGUGAGGAGGGGCAGAGAGAGGGAGAGAGAGAAUUCCAAGUAGGCUCUGUGCUGCCAGCAUGGAGUCCGAUGUGGGGCUCCAAUCCAUGAACCGUGAGAUCAUGACUUGAGCUGAAAUCGAGAGUUGGGUGCUGAACUGACUGGGCCACCCAGGUGCUCCUAAUGAAUCAUGAUUAAGGUCUCUUUUCUUUGAGGGCAAAGUGGGUUUAAUCUGGUGUUGCUUCUCUUUGAAUUAAUCAUCUUCAAACACAGUUGGUCUCCCAGCUUCCAUCCUUCUUUGGAAUAUUUAUUGCCCAACCCACAGAAAACUAGUGAUGAAGGAAGUUCCCCCACAGAUUCUAGGAGCACAGAGCAAUAUUUGGAGGAAUGAGACUUCCCAACUCCUACUUUAGCCAAGAGCUACUCAAGCCUCUGUGUCAUCACCCAACAAGAUUUUUGUUGCAACAGAUGGAAAUGUAAUCAGACCUAGCAUUGGUCACACCAUGGAUCACAGGCCUUUUCCAGAGUUUUUGGUCAUUCCCUUAAAAUUAGAGUUGUGGAAAUCACACCUUUGUUAUCCCUGCCCAAUGGUAUGUUCUGAGUUGCAGUUUCUGCUGUGCCCUGUUCUAAGGAGAGCAUGCACCAGCCACAAGGACAGGGGAGAAAGAGCUAUUUGUUGAGUACAUUAUUGCUAGUAUUAUUACAUCUCACUAUAUAUAAAAUGAACAGCUAACAUCAUUUUUGAAGUUUAUUUGCCCUAGGCACUGUGCUAGUGGCUUUUAUUACACACUUGAACUUAUUUAAUCCUUGUAGAGGAUUUUGAUGAAACCCUGUAAGAAAGGCAGAGGUAAUUUUAUUAUUCCUACUUUUAUAAACAAGGAAAAUUAUUUUUAAAGUAUUUAAGAAACUUACACAAGCUUCCUCAGGUAUUAUGUGGUGGAUCCAGUGUAACCCAUGCUUUCUGUAUCCAAGCUUAUAAUCACUAUAAGUCUUGGUUCAUUCAACCAAGCAGAAGCCACUCUAGGUCAUUUGAGCAGGAAGAGAUUUACUACAGGGAAUUAGAGACUUAUAAAAUUUGGAAAGCAAAGGUCAGGAAGGCCACUCCUGAUUUUCAGAAAAUCUAGAUGGGCCAGAAUUGCAGGAAUUGCUCAUGAUUUCAGCUUCCUAUAGCACAAAAUGGUUGAUUCUUAGGAGGAUGCCUGAAGCUGCCAGCCCAACUCUGGCACUGGCUAAUGCCAGUGCACUAGCCAUUGCCCGAGAAUGUUUUCUCUUCUCUUUCACUCACUAAAUCUCAUAGGUGUGACUCUCACCCACAGAAUCUAAUCUGGGACACUGCAAAACAAAGAAUUCUGAAGCCUAUAGUUCCCAGCUUUCUCUCCUACGAUGGUGGAGAGAGUGUAGAAGGAACUGGGGAUGGUACUGGGUUGGCUACAAUCUGUUCUUAUCACUGCUUUCUA